AUUGAACGCUAGCGGGAUGCUUUACACAUGCAAGUCGAACGGCAGCGCGGACUUCGGUCUGGCGGCGAGUGGCGAACGGGUGAGUAAUGUAUCGGAACGUGCCCAGUAGCGGGGGAUAACUACGCGAAAGCGUAGCUAAUACCGCAUACGCCCUACGGGGGAAAGCAGGGGAUCGUAAGACCUUGCACUAUUGGAGCGGCCGAUAUCGGAUUAGCUAGUUGGUGAGGUAACGGCUCACCAAGGCGACGAUCCGUAGCUGGUUUGAGAGGACGACCAGCCACACUGGGACUGAGACACGGCCCAGACUCCUACGGGAGGCAGCAGUGGGGAAUUUUGGACAAUGGGGGCAACCCUGAUCCAGCCAUCCCGCGUAUGCGAUGAAGGCCUUCGGGUUGUAAAGCACUUUUGGCAGGAAAGAAACGUCGCGGGCUAAUACCCCGUGGAACUGACGGUACCUGCAGAAUAAGCACCGGCUAACUACGUG
rnacentral:rRNA from 1 species